rnacentral:rRNA from 1 species
UACGAAGGGGCUAGCGUUGUUCGGAAUUACUGGGCGUAAAGCGCGCGCAGGCGGUUUUCCAAGUCAGUGGUGAAAGCCCGGAGCUCAACUCCGGAACUGCCAUUGAAACUGUUAAACUUGAGGACGAGAGAGGUGAGUGGAAUUCCCAGUGUAGAGGUGAAAUUCGUAGAUAUUGGGAAGAACACCAGUGGCGAAGGCGGCUCACUGGCUCGUAUCUGACGCUCAGGCGCGAUAGCGUGGGGAGCAAACAGG